rnacentral:rRNA from 1 species
ACGCACGCUGGCGGCGUGCUUAACACAUGCAAGUCGAGCGGUAAGGCCUUUCGGGGUACCCGCGCGGCGAACGGGUGAGUAACACGUGGGUGAUCUGCCCUGCACUUCGGGAUAAGCCUGGGAAACUGGGUCUAAUACCGGAUAUGACCUCCUAUCGCAUGGUGGGUGGUGGAAAGAUUUAUCGGUGCAGGAUGGGCACGCGGCCUAUCAGCUUGUUGGUGGGGUAAUGGCCUACAAAGGCGACGACGGGUAGCCGACCUGAGAGGGUGACCGGCCACACUGGGAAUGAGACACGGCCCAGACUCCUACGGGAGGCAGCAAUGGGGAAUAUUGCACAAUGGGCGAAAGCCUGAUGCAGCAACGCCGCGUGAGGGAGGACGGCCUUCGGGUUGUAAACCUCUUUCAGCAGGGACGAAGCGCAAGUGACGGUACCUGCAGAAGAAGCACCGGCUAACUACGUG